ensembl:lncRNA
GUGAGAUUCUAUUUAUUCCGGAAAGCUGAUAAUACGCAGGGCGGCCCACGUGGGAGUAUUUCACUGGCCUGUCUCGGAGCUGGAGUGCCGUCCAGCUGUACGAUGAAUCUUCCAUUUGGCUCUUCCAGCCUGGUCCUGCUUCCAGCCUGGUUCACUCGAGGUCCCCAGGAGGUGAUGAGGCAGGCUCUUGCAGAACUGUGAUGGGGAGGGAUUGGAUCAGCACAGAGCCGACCUACAGGGAUCAAACUCUCAGCAGGAAGCAUGGACAAUGGGGCCCACAUCCCAGACCCAGAGGCCGGAAGUCAGUAUGAGCGAGAGGCUGGGGACAGAUCUGAUUCCGUCAGGACGGGUUACAGUCAGGGGUCGGGGGUGAUAUCAGAAGUCAGUGACGUCACCCUCCUUGCGGGAGCUGUGAAGCCUGCUGCGUCAUCAAGGUGAUGGGAGGCGGGCAGUGGCCUCGGGACCUCUUUUCUUGCCCCCAGCUUGUGCUCCGCUUGGUCUUCUCUGGACCACAGAGGUUGUCCUGUAAGUCUGACCCUCACAGCAGUCGGAGCGCACGUGGACACAGAGGGCCAGAACAGCCAACAGUGGGGGAGGAAAGACUUGGGUCAGAGAAAUGGAAUAUUUUAAGGGCAGACUGAAUAGAAUAAAGGCUUUUGUGCUGGUUUCAUGGAGGUUCCGUCCAGGACGGAGUGACUCUAGAACUUCCAUGCCAUGUGGAAGCCGGAGCACUAGGAGAGAAAUCAGAGUUGAGAAAAUUGCUUAUCAUCUUGGCCCUCCUGAAUGGGAGCAGCAAAUUGACCUGCCAGUGUUUCUGUGGACCAGGCGACUGCAGGAGGUGAAGGUAGUGCCGGGACUGAGCCAGGGGCUGGGGGCUGGGGGCGGUGGUCGGUUCUGUCUCAGAGUCUCCGUGCCGCUCCACUCUGGGAACCCACCAGACCAGAGCUGGCAGCUAUGUUAUUUUUGACUCAACUCAGCUGCCUAUUGUGCCCGUGGUGUGAGCGCACCAGUCCAGGCCGCUGACAGCUGAUUCCAUAUUUCAGAGGGAGAGGAGGAGCGGGAGGCGGGCUGGCAGGGGCCUGGGCGGGCUCUGCAGGGUCCUUCCUGUUCCGUAGACCUCGGCCCCAGCUGGGCAGACGACCCUGCGGCCGUGGGGUUGUGUUCCAGGCUGUGUGUUCCAGGCGUGGCCCCAGCUGCAGACAAGACGAGAAGCUAUUCCUACGGGACUAGCUACUUCCCUUACUCUCCUAUUCAGGGGGGAAAAAAAUCCAUUUUGUAAAAGUAUUAGGUUGAACUUUCAUUUUAACGUUUUUACUUUAGACACAUCCCACUUUUCUUUCUCCUUCUCUUCCAUUGUAUUUUUUUUUUUUUUUUNNNNNNNNNNNNNNNNNNNNNNNNNNNNNNNNNNNNNNNNNNNNNNNNNNNNNNGUGGGCCCCAAACUCCACACCAAAGUCAUACUUCAGGUUUUUUUUUUUUUAAAAACUUGAUUGAAAAAAUGUCAUAUUUUCUGUUGGUCACGUGGGUGGUAAAGAGCAAGAUCUUUUCAAAUAAACGUAAGUCCCCUGUACACGAACGAGUUCCAUUCUGAGAGCGCAUUUGUAAGUCCAGUUUGUUCAUCAGCCCAGGUGACUCCAACAAAGUUAGCCCAGGUACCCAACAAACACAGUCGGCUGUAUGGGACUGUACUGUAAUAGAUUUAUAAUGCUUUUCAUGCAAAUAAUGCAUAAAAAACAAACACAAAAAAUAAAGAAACUAUACUCCAAUAAAAUUAAUUUUAAAAAUAAUUUUUUAAGAAAUGAGACAUUUUUAAUCUUAUAGUAUAGUACCUUGAAAAGCACAGUAGUACAGCUGGCAUACAGAAGCACGUAUAAAUCUUUAAAAGCACACAAGCUCACAACUUGAAGGUCUGUAUGUAGAGGACUUAUUGUAAAUGCAAUAGCAAGGAGGGAUUCUGUUCUGGUGGGUACAUGGAGGCAGGGGCAGGUGGGCGAUUUCCCCUACAUCGUACGAGACCUAGAGCAGGGCCAGGCUGAGUCUCCAGAAUCCAUUCAUUAGCUUUGACACAAUGUUGUCGUCUGGACAAUCAUUUAUUUUCCUUGAGUAUUUAAAAAUAAGGUGGGGUCAGGGAUACUCAAUGAGCAGUUCAAUGAGCUUGAGAAGUCCGUUGCAAUAAUGAGGGUUUACACCUCAAGUUACGACAUCACUAAUGUCAACAGGUCCUAACUGUUGCUAGGCUGGGCUCUAGAAAGUCUCCACCCCUGGGUUCCUAAUCCCCUCCCUCGUCUGAAAAAGAGAGGCAUCUCCAUGUGUUCUCUUUAAGGGUCUCCAGAUGUAGUUUCACAUUCCCUGAAUAAAAUGGACUGAAGUUCUGUCCUCAUAUUAGAUGCUUUAUCUUCUGUUUGCCUUUUUGCUGGUUUACUGGUUUAGGAUGCAGGGCAUAUGUGUUGGGAGGACAACCCUUCCUGAACCUCCGUCACCCUGGGGAGCGUGGUGCUGGUCUCUGGAAAGGGAGAGAUCACCUCUGUUUCUAUCAGAUGAAACAUUAGAUCUUUAGUUGAAUCAUGUGUCCCUGCAGGUGGACUAGGGACAGGUUUCAUUUUCUUUACAUUUAUAUCUUGGCUGUGCUGAAUGCUAUGGGCAGAAAGUCUGUGUCCCUCCAAAUUCAUGUGCUGAAGCCUAAAUCAAACCCCUAAGGUGAUGGCACUAGGAGGUAGGACCCUGGGGAAGGGAUGAGAGUGUGAGGAUGGGGCCCUUGUGAUGCGAUUGGUGGUUGGUGGUUUAGUCACUCAGUCGAGCCCGACUCUUGUGAUCCCAUAGACUGUAGCCCACCAGGCUCCCCUGUCCAU